rnacentral:rRNA from 1 species
UUAAAUGGCCGCGGUAUUUUGACCGUGCAAAGGUAGCAUAAUCAAUAGUUUUUUAAUUGAAAGCUGGAAUGAAGGGUUUAAUGAAAAAAUGACUGUCUUUAUAAUAUUUUAUUAGAAUUUUAUUUUUAAGUUAAAAAGCUUAAAUUUAAUUUAAAGACGAGAAGACCCUUUAGAGUUUUAUAAUAAUUAAAUUUUUAAUUUUUUUUUAGUAUUAAUUAUAAAAAACUUUAGUUUUAUUUAGUUGGGGCGACUAAAAAAUUAAAUAAACUUUUUUUUAUAUUUAACAUUUAUAUAUGAUUUUAUGAUCCAUUAAUUAUGAUUAUAAGAAUAAAUUACCUAAGGGAUAACAGCGUUAUUUUUUUUAAGAGUUCUUAUCGAAAAAAAAGAUUGCGACCUCGAUGUUGGAUUAAAAUUAAAUUAUGGUGGAGAGGCUAUAACUUUAGGUCUGUUCGACCUUUAAAAUUUUACAUGAUCUGAGUUUAAACCGGUUUAAGCCAGGUUGGUUUCUAUCUUAAAUCUAUUAUAAUAUUUUAGUACGAAAGGACCAAGUCUUGUACUCAUAGUAUUUAGUUUUGAAUUAAAUU